ACUAACAUCAAUGGCGGAUAAAACCAGACGCGGAUUUAAUUUGAUCGAACGAUUCUCACAAACAAAAUAUCUCUAAUUCUCUAAUUGAUGAAACCUGAAAAGCACAAAUGGAUACUAAUGAAGAAUGGAGUGUUCCGAACAGUGACGACGAAAGGGACGAAGAGCUACUUGGUUUAACACAAAAUGGCUGCCACGAUGUGCCUGUGAAAAUCCUGAAAUACUACGAGGACAUUGAAAAGAAUAAAGUAUUAGAACUGAACGUGAAAGAGUUUAGAAAGCCUUUUAAGCAAGAUAUUGUUGAUGGUGAUAAAGAUAGUUGUCAGAAGGAACUUCAGGAGGAGAGAAAAGACGACGAAGAGAGUUCAACUUGUGCAGACGAAGAGAAGGAAACACAUCUAGAAAAAUCAAAUGAACCUUCAGAGUUUGAUUAUCUGGAAGAACCAGAUGAAUGUCAAGGACAGCUUACAAGAAGAACUCCCAAAACUGGAAGACUACCGAAGAAAAGAGUUGGGACCCUAAAGAAUGUUAUCUCCAACUUAAAACGUUACAAACAACUUGAUAGUUCUACUAGUGAAGACCCAAAGCUAACUACUGCAGAAAACAAAUCUGAUUUUGAAAGCAAAAAAGAUGUUAGUGAGCCAAAGGAUGAUCCAGAUGACUCCAAAAACACAUAAUGGAAUACAUGCAAUUUUGUAAAUAUUAAGAAAACCUUAUGUUUCAAACAAGAAGAAGAAUAGAUGUUUCUUGAGGCAAGUCUGCUAAGCAUUGGAAUCAGUCGCUAGCUGUUAAUUGAAAGUUUACUCAUUUUGUACAAGGCUUUGUUGACUACUACAGUGUAUAUACAAAUGGGUUUGUAGGCUGUGUUUGUAGUUCGCAGGUACUGGUUGUAGUAAAGUGGUUGAUACUGUAGCAGGCAGGAUGUUCAGUACAGAGAACUGUACAACGUUCAAACGUAAC
rnacentral:misc_RNA from 1 species